GUUUCUGUAGGAGCCUAGGAUCAGUAGUCUGCACUGCAGGGAAAAAGGCAUUUUUUUCUAGAAUGUUGUCCUAUUUUUUAUAGCUAUUUUGUGCCAUUUUAAAAUUGGCCCUCCCCUCUUAGCCAUGGUCUCUCAUUCCCCCAAAUAAUUGCUUUUACGUUUUAUUUCAGAUAAUUCACUGAGUGGGAAAUCAAAGAUACGAUAGUUAGGCAGCACAUUAGUAUUCACGGAGGGCUUUUUUGUGCUUCUCAUUACAGAAUAUAUUUUCUUGCUGAGAAUCUCCCAUCCUGCUCCCCAAAGGUGGCAUUAUUUUGAAGCUAUGAAGAGCACCUUGCAAAAUAUUUCACUGUUUUUCUCAUGAUGGACAAUUUUCCCAAUAACAACAACAACAACCAAAAAAGCCAAAUCUUAUCUCUUAUCCAUGCCACCGUCCUCCACCUGGCCAUCUCACCUGGCGAGGGAUGGGCUGGGACAGUGUGCUAAUGCUGGGCAAUCAGCCAGGACAGGACACUUCGUGAAGAUUGAUAACGAAUGAAGUUGGAGAUGGAUGUACUGGGAUCUCCUGCUCCAUUGACUUUCCAGGGAAAAUCAGAGAGAAUGAGAACCAGGCAGAGCUGCAGACCAGGAGGAAGCUUUACUGAACUCAGGAUGCGCAUGACCUUGUGGGAGGAGGCAAUGGGAGGUCUCUGGCUCAGAUCAAAGGAAUCAGCUUUGAUAUGUGUUUAAAAAAGUGAAUUCUCUUGUGGAGAGGACACAGUCAGAGUUGGUUGGCUAAGAACAAGGAUGGCCUUAUUUGGGCAGAUGGAAAGAACAAGUCUACAAAUGUGGAGCUGGUUCUGAUGUGCUUGGACUCAGAGAUCUUAUCAGAUGGCUCUUUCUGUUAUGUAAUCAGGAGUCAGGAAGCCACAAUCCACACAAAUUACUUCUCUCUGCUCUUCAGAAAGAAACCAUAUUCAUCACAACAAGACGACCACCAGGGACUCCUCAGAGCCACGUGAUCCCCGUGGAGUUUGGCUCAUUGCAGAGCAAGGUCUCUCAUGAAUCCCCCAAGGCUUCAAGCUCCAAGGGCUGGGGGCUGAGUGUGUCUCACUUAUCACUGUAGUCCCAGCACAAGGUGGAACACGUAGCACAAAGCAGGACUUGCAGUAGUACCUUGAAUUGAAUUGACGAAAGUGGGCAUCCUUGCUGCAUGUGUGAAGGUGAUGACGGUGAGGGGGAGGCGUGCUUCUACUCCAGGUGGUGUACAGGCAUGGACUUCGAGCAGCGUUGUUAGCUGGACUCAGCAUCAGAGGUCCUCAAUGGCAAAAGCUAGUGGUGUCCCUGGUGAUGUCAAGGGUUUCUCCUGCUUUCCUUUCCACUGGAGGUGGUAGGGGAUUUCUGAGGCAAUUCCUCUUGGUACCAAGCUGUGUCAGGUUGGAGGAUGAAGUGAAACAGGUAAAAUGCUUUCUGCACUUUUCUAUGUGGUCAUCUUCGAUUUUUAAGCUCCAUGGAGUUGCUGCAGCUUCUUAAUUAUAAGCUGGAGCUCUCCCAGAACAAUUUCAUUGGUGGAUAAUUAUUAAAUUGUUUUCGUAGGGAGAACCAAGGCUGGUACCUCCUAACCUGUCAUCUCUGACAUCACUCCACAUGCAUUUAAAAAUAACUUUAUUACAUUCAUCAAAAAACAAUCUAGCUGGACUUUUGAUUGGUAUUGCAUUAAAUUUAUAUUCAAUUU